CCUACGGGUGGCAGCAGUCGAGAAUCAUUCACAAUGGGGGAAACCCUGAUGGUGCGACGCCGCGUGGGGGAAUGAAGGUCUUCGGAUUGUAAACCCCUGUCAUGUGGGAGCAAAUUAAAAAGAUAGUACCACAAGAGGAAGAGACGGCUAACUCUGUGCCAGCAGCCGCGGUAAUUCAGAGGUCUCAAGCGUUGUUCGGAAUCACUGGGCGUAAGGCGUGCGUAGGCUGUUUCGUAAGUCGUGUGUGAAAGGCGCGGGCUCAACCCGCGGACGGCACAUGAUACUGCGAGACUAGAGUAAUGGAGGGGGAACCGGAAUUCUCGGUGUAGCAGUGAAAUGCGUAGAUAUCGAGAGGAACACUCGUGGCGAAGGCGGGUUCCUGGACAUUAACUGACGCUGAGGCACGAAGGCCAGGGGAGCGAAAGGGAUUAGAUACCCUAGUAGUC
rnacentral:rRNA from 1 species